UGGCCCGUUGGUCAAGUGGUUAAGACACCGCCCUUUCACGGCGGUAACACGAGUUCGAAUCUCGUACGGGUCAU
rnacentral:tRNA from 1 species